AGUGAACGCUGGCGGUAGGCCUAACACAUGCAAGUCGAACGGCAGCACAGUAAGAGCUUGCUCUUACGGGUGGCGAGUGGCGGACGGGUGAGGAAUACAUCGGAAUCUACUUUUUCGUGGGGGAUAACGUAGGGAAACUUACGCUAAUACCGCAUACGACCUACGGGUGAAAGCAGGGGAUCUUCGGACCUUGCGCGAUUGAAUGAGCCGAUGUCGGAUUAGCUAGUUGGCGGGGUAAAGGCCCACCAAGGCGACGAUCCGUAGCUGGUCUGAGAGGAGGAUCAGCCACACUGGAACUGAGACACGGUCCAGACUCCUACGGGAGGCAGCAGUGGGGAAUAUUGGAAAAUGGGCGCAAGCCUGAUCCAGCCAUACCGCGUGGGUGAAGAAGGCCUUCGGGUUGUAAAGCCCUUUUGUUGGGAAAGAAAAGCAGCAGGUUAAUACCCCGCUGUUCGGACGGUACCCAAAGAAUAAGCACCGGCUAACUUCGU
rnacentral:rRNA from 1 species